GACGAACCGUGCAACCGUUGUUCGGAUUCACUGGGCUUAAAGGGCGCGUAGGCGGGUGGUCAAGUCAGGGGUGAAAUCUUUCAGCUCAACUGGAAAACAGCUUCUGAUACUGGCCAUCUUGAGGGAGGUAGGGGCAUGUGGAACUUCCGGUGGAGCGGUGAAAUGCGUAGAUAUCGGAAGGAACGCCGGUGGCGAAAGCGACGUGCUGGACCUUUUCUGACGCUGAGGCGCGAAAGCCAGGGGAGCAAACGGG
rnacentral:rRNA from 1 species